rnacentral:rRNA from 1 species
CCUACGGGUGACAGCAGUGAGGAAUAUUGGUCAAUGGACGAGAGUCUGAACCAGCCAAGUAGCGUGAAGGAUGACUGCCCUAUGGGUUGUAAACUUCUUUUAUAAAGGAAUAAAACGAGGCACGUGUUCCUUUUUGCAUGUCCUUUAUGAAUAAGGAUCGGCUAACUCUGUGCCAGCAGCCGCGGUAAUACGGAGGAUCCGAGCGUUAUCCGGAUUGAUUGGGUGUAAAGGGAGCGUAGAUGGGUUGUUAAGUCAGUUGUGAAAGUUUGUGGCUCAACCGUAAUAUUGCAAUUGAUACUGGCAGUCUUGAGUACAGUUGAGGUAGACGGAAUUCGUGGUGUAGCGGUGAAAUGCUUAGAUAUCACGAAGAACCCCGAUUGCGAAGGCAGCUUACUAAACUGUGACUGACAUUGAUGCUCGAAAGUGUGGGUAUCAAACAGGAUUAGAUACCCCAGUAGUC